rfam:Lepisosteus oculatus linkage group LG4, whole genome shotgun sequence.
GCCAGCAGCCAUAUCACUCUGCAACUCAUAACUGACAACCCACUGAAGCUAAGCAGGUGUGAGCCUGAUCAGUAUCUGGAUGGGAGACCUCCUGGGAAAAACUAAGGUUGCUUUUG